UACGGAGGGUGCAAGCGUUGUCCGGAAUCACUGGGCGUAAAGGGCGCGUAGGCGGCUCAUGAAGGCUGUGGUGAAAGUCCGGGGCUCAACCUCGGAUCGGCCGUGGCGACUCGUGGGCUGGAGCACUGUAGAGGCGGGUGGGAUUCCGGGUGUAGCGGUGGAAUGCGUAGAGAUCCGGAAGAACACCGGUGGCGAAGGCGUUCUGCUGGGCAGUUGCUGACACUGAGGCGCGACAGCGUGGGGAGCAAACAGG
rnacentral:rRNA from 1 species